CCUACGGGAGGCAGCAGUAGGGAAUCUUUCACAAUGGGCGAAAGCCUGAUGGAGCAACGCCGCGUGCAGGAUGAAGGCCUUCGGGUUGUAAACUUCUUUUAUUAGCGAGAAAUUUGACGGUACCUGAAGAAUAAGCUCCGGCUAACUACGUGCCAGCAGCCGCGGUAAUACGUAGGGAGCGAGCGUUAUCCGGAAUUAUUGGGCGUAAAGGUUGCGUAGAUGGCAUAGUAAGUCUUUUGUAAAAAUGCUGGUCUAAACCCAGUAGGGCAAAAGAUACUGCAAAGCUAGAGUAUGACAGAGGCAAGUGGAACUACAUGUGUAGCGGUAAAAUGAGUAAAUAUAUGUAAGAACACCAGUGGCGAAGGCGGCUGGCUGGGUCGAUACUGACAUUGAGGCACGAAAGCGUGGGGAGCAAACAGGAUUAGAUACCCUAGUAGUC
rnacentral:rRNA from 1 species